AAUGAACGCUGGCGGCGUGCCUAAUACAUGCAAGUCGAGCGAACAGAUGAGGAGCUUGCUCCUCUGACGUUAGCGGCGGACGGGUGAGUAACACGUGGAUAACCUACCUAUAAGACUGGGAUAACUUCGGGAAACCGGAGCUAAUACCGGAUAACAUAUUGAACCGCAUGGUUCUAUAGUGAAAGAUGGUUUUGCUGUCACUUAUAGAUGGACCCGCGCCGCAUUAGCUAGUUGGUAAGGUAACGGCUUACCAAGGCAACGAUGCGUAGCCGACCUGAGAGGGUGGACGGCCACACUGGAACUGGAGCACGGUCCAAACUCCUACGGGAGGCAACAGGAGGGAAUCUUCCGCAAUGGGGGGAAACCUGACGGGGCAACGCCGGGGUAGGGAUGAAGGGCUUCGGAUCGGAAAACUCUGGUAAUAGGGAAAAACAAAUUGUUAAGUAACUAGUCACGUCUUGACGGUACCUUAUCAGAAAGCCACGGCUUACUACGUG
rnacentral:rRNA from 1 species